UCAAUCCGAUUGCUUUAUUCUCAGUCUGUGACAUCAAUAAUCAAUGGCCGUACCAGUGCCCUCCCGACUCGAUCUGUGUGCCAGCACCCACUCCCACGGGGGGCAAGUGCGCGGCUUUUAAGAAGAGAAUGUCAAAUGUUGAAGCCGACGAGUUUGGUGUCAAACAAGAUCUCUGUGACAUCAAUAAUCAAUGGCCGUACCAGUGCCCUCCCGGCUGGCUCUGUGUGCCAGCACCCACUCCCACGGGGGGCGAGUGCAUACGUUUUAAGAAGAGAAUGGCAAAUGUUGAAGAGUCCUAAAUGCCAACAGCCUCGGGAUGGUGAAGUCGCAAUUGAUUAAUUAUAACGGUGAAGGGUUUAAGUUGUGUUGUCUUUGCCUUGUUCGAGUUAAAUGAGACUUUUUAAAUUAACAUGUAUUUGAAAUUCCUCCCAAAGGAAGAAACUGUUGACAAAGCUAUACUACCAUGAGUAAAUGACACAUUGUC
rnacentral:lncRNA from 1 species